rnacentral:rRNA from 1 species
GAUGAACGCUGGCGGCGUGCCUAAUACAUGCAAGUCGAACGAAACUUCUUUAUCACCGAGUGCUUGCACUCACCGAUAAAGAGUUGAGUGGCGAACGGGUGAGUAACACGUGGGCAGCCUGCCCAAAAGAGGGGGAUAACACUUGGAAACAGGUGCUAAUACCGCAUAACCAUAGUUACCGCAUGGUAACUAUGUAAAAGGUGGCUAUACUACCGCUUUUGGAUGGGCCCGCGGCGCAUUAGCUAGUUGGUAGGGUAAAGGCUUACCAAGGCAAUGAUGCGUAGCCGAAUUGAGAGGUUGAUCGGCCACAUUGGGACUGAGACACGGCCCAAACUCCUACGGGAGGCAGCAGUAGGGAAUCUUCCACAAUGGGCGAAAGCCUGAUGGAGCAACGCCGCGUGGGUGAAGAAGGUCUUCGGAUCGUAAAACCCUGUUGUUAGAGAAGAAAGUGCGUGAGAGUAACUGUUCACGUUUCGACGGUAUCUAACCAGAAAGCCACUGCUAACUACGUG